rnacentral:misc_RNA from 1 species
UGAGAUGACAUUGACUGUAACUGAGAUGGUGGUUGACGACCAAUGGGGAUUUGGGAUACGGGAACAGUUUGCAUUGGAGGUGGCAGUAUUCUGACAUGUUCGGGGAAGUUUAGUUUAGCUCUGUUUCCUCUAAAUCUUAAAGCAGCUUCGUCGUAGGCUCUGGCGGCGGCCUCUGCGGUGUCGAAUGUGCCAAGCCAGACUCUUGCUGC